CACGUAGGGGGCGAGCGUUAUCCGGAUUCACUGGGUGUAAAGGGAGCGUAGACGGCCAUGCAAGCCAGGGGUGAAAGCCCGGGGCCCAACCCCGGGACUGCCCUUGGAACUGCAUGGCUGGAGUGCGGGAGGGGCAGGCGGAAUUCCUGGUGUAGCGGUGAAAUGCGUAGAUAUCAGGAGGAACACCGGUGGCGAAGGCGGCCUGCUGGACUGCAACUGACGUUGAGGCCCGAAAGCGUGGGGAGCAAACAGG
rnacentral:rRNA from 1 species